AUUGAACGCUGGCGGCAGGCCUAACACAUGCAAGUCGAACGAGUGGCGGACGGGUGAGUAAUAUCUGGGAAACUGCCUGAUGGAGGGGGAUAACUACUGGAAACGGUAGCUAAUACCGCAUACCAUCAGAUCGGCCCAGAUAGGAUUAGCUUGUUGGUGGGGUAACGGCUCACCAAGGCGACGAUCCCUAGAUGGUCUGAGAGGAGGACCAGCCACACUGGAACUGAGACACGGUCCAGACUCCUACGGGAGGCAGCAGUGGGGAAUAUUGCACAAUGGGCGAAAGCCUGAUGCAGCCAUGCCGAGUGUAUGAAGAAGGCCUUCGGGUGGUAAAGUACUUUCGGCGGAGAGGCGUUAUCCGCAGAAGAAGCACCGGCUAACUCCGUGCCAGCAGCCGCGGUAAUUC
rnacentral:rRNA from 1 species